GAAGACUUUCCGUAGCAGCGUAACAUCCGACGAACAGAGACGCGCUCUCAGAAACGUCCAGAACUGUACAAAAGUUUCCUCAGGGCCUAUUUGCUGCCUUUGUUGACUGUUUGGAGGUCACUUCUUGCACACUGCUCAUUGACUGGCCCUCCUGCUGGCUGAUCUGCUUUGCAACAUCCUCGGCCUGCCGUGUCAUCUGCACCGCUGUUUCCAGGAAUUUAAAGACCCUCAAGCUCCAAACAGAGCCUUGAACCACAGCACCAAUGAAAAAAAAGAAGUCUGCCAACAGCAUGAAGGAAAUAGAUAAGAAUCAACAAAAUCUUCAGGAACAGUUAGGAAAUUCUUGUCCAAAAAAGCCUGCUAGAAUUGUGUCUGAAGGCUUUAGGAAACAACACACUGAUGACAUUGAGGGUUUAACUUGGAGUUUUUUAAAUAUUAAAGACGAUAAAGUAUUCAUAGUAAAAUAUAAAGAUGUUAAUAAGUGUCCAGAUAUGUACAAGCAUAUCAUUAUAUAUGGUUUACAAUUAGAAUGGGGGGGUAAAGACUACAUCUGGAAAGAAUUUAAGUUACUUUGCCAAGAGGAUGAUAUUAAUUUUGUUUUAGACAACUGCUAUAUACUUCAGAGUAGUGACGACAUCCAGAAUUUGUUCAAACACUAUGCAAAUUUUGGUGAAAAGGAUCCCAAAUACAUCAUGAUAAACAGCUGGAUUUAUAAACUGUAUCCAGAGAAAGUUUAUGUAUUUCUUGUAGGAAAACAGCUCAAUAGAACAGAAAAU